GACGAACGCUGGCGGCGUGCUUAACACAUGCAAGUCGAACGAUGACGACCGAGCUUGCUCGGUCUUAUUAGUGGCGAACGGGUGAGUAACACGUGAGCAACCUGCCCUUCACUCUGGGAUAACCUCGGGAAAUCGGGGCUAAUACCGGAUAUGAGCUCCUGUCGCAUGGCGGGUGUUGGAAAGUUUUUCGGUGAAGGAUGGGCUCGCGGCCUAUCAGUUUGUUGGUGAGGUAGUGGCUCACCAAGGCGAUGACGGGUAGCCGGCCUGAGAGGGCGACCGGCCACACUGGGACUGAGACACGGCCCAGACUCCUACGGGAGGCAGCAGUGGGGAAUAUUGCACAAUGGGCGAAAGCCUGAUGCAGCGACGCCGCGUGAGGGAUGACGGCCUUCGGGUUGUAAACCUCUUUCAGCAGGGAAGAAGCGAAAGUGACGGUACCUGCAGAAGAAGCGCCGGCUAACUACGUG
rnacentral:rRNA from 1 species